rnacentral:rRNA from 1 species
UAACUGAAGAGUUUGAUCAUGGCUCAGAUUGAACGCUGGCGGCAGGCUUAACACAUGCAAGUCGAGCGGGGGAAGGUAGCUUGCUACCGGACCUAGCGGCGGACGGGUGAGUAAUGCUUAGGAAUCUGCCUAUUAGUGGGGGACAACAUCUCGAAAGGGAUGCUAAUACCGCAUACGUCCUACGGGAGAAAGCAGGGGAUCUUCGGACCUUGCGCUAAUAGAUGAGCCUAAGUCGGAUUAGCUAGUUGGUGGGGUAAAGGCCUACCAAGGCGACGAUCUGUAGCGGGUCUGAGAGGAUGAUCCGCCACACUGGGACUGAGACACGGCCCAGACUCCUACGGGAGGCAGCAGUGGGGAAUAUUGGACAAUGGGGGGAACCCUGAUCCAGCCAUGCCGCGUGUGUGAAGAAGGCCUUAUGGUUGUAAAGCACUUUAAGCGAGGAGGAGGCUACUUUAGUUAAUACCUAGAGAUAGUGGACGUUACUCGCAGAAUAAGCACCGGCUAACUCUGUGCCAGCAGCCGCGGUAAUACAGAGGGUGCGAGCG